GCCUUAUAUUUAAAGCAAACCAAACGCUAUUCCUGUCAUCUGGAUCCCAUACUUCCUCCACGGGAUGCUCCACCACCGAAGCUGCACCUGAGCGAGGAUUUUCCGAGGGAACAGGCGAUAAUGGACGCAUCCAUCCCUCCCGCGGAAGCCAGGCGUUCAACAUGCGGCUAAUUUAAUCAAGGAGAGGCAAAUCUUAAUAAAGAAGGAGGGAAGAGCAGUACUCGAACCAGGCUGGCUGAUGGUAUAAUGACCUGUCUUCUGAAGGAGCAGAGCAACCGAAGCUCUCCUGGUGCCAUUAACGUUCGAUAUGUCAGAGCUGAAGGUACCAGCGAGAGGAAAACAACAUCAUUAAGCAGGACACUCUCAUGCUGGAAGGGGAGGCACAUUUAUAUUCUGACAGGGGAUUAUCUAGGCAGCAAUAAUAAUAGCAGGAGUAAUAAUAAUAAUAAUAAAUCAUUAUCACUUGGCA